UAAGUCCCGCAACGAGCGCAACCCCUACUGCCAGUUACCAGCAAGUCGCGUUGGGGACUCUGGCGGAACUGCCGGUGACAAACCGGAGGAAGUGUGGGGAUGACGUCGAGUCAUCAUGGCCCUUAUGUCCAGGGCUACACACGUGCUACAAUGGGCGGUACAGAGCGGAGCGAAGCCGCGAGGCGCAAGCGAAUCGCUUAAAGCCGCCCGUAGUUCGGAUUGAAGUCUGAAACCCGACUUCAUGAAGUUGGAAUCGCUAGUAAUCGCGCAUCAGCAUGGCGCGGUGAAUACGUUCCCGGGCCUUGUACACACCGCCCGUCACACCAUCCGAGUUGGAGGUACCCGAAGCCGGCAGUCUAACCGCAAGGAGGACGCUGUCGAAGGUACGUUUAGUGAGGAGGGUGAAGUCGUAACAAGGUAGCCGUACUGGAAAGUGCGGCUGGAUCACCUCCUUUCU
rnacentral:rRNA from 1 species